ACGACCCGCUGGACCCAGGCUGCGGUUGCUGGAACUGCUGGUUUCAAGCAGGAGCCUAGAGAAAAUCCUCCUGCGAUCUGUGGACCGUCUCAGUCUCCUGAGUGUGACGGUCACGGCUCCAGGAAGACACUCCU
rnacentral:snoRNA from 1 species